AUACGGAGGAUCCGAGCGUUAUCCGGAUUUAUUGGGUUUAAAGGGUGCGCAGGCGGCCAUUUAAGUCAGCGGUUAAAUCGUGGGGCUCAACCCCAUUCUGCCGUUGAUACUGGGUGGCUUGAUUGCGGUCGAGGUUGGCGGAAUUCGUUGUGUAGCGGUGAAAUGCAUAGAUAUGACGAAGAACACCGAUUGCGUAGGCAGCUGACCAGACCGCAAAUGACGCUCAUGCACGAAAGUGCGGGGAUCGAACAGGAUUAGAUACCCUGGUAGUCCGCACAAUAAACGAUGAAUACUUGUUUUCGGCGAUAUAAUGUCGGAGGCAAAGCGAAAGCGAUAAGUAUUCCACCUGGGGAGUACGCCGGCAACGGUGAAACUCAAAGGAAUUGACGGGG
rnacentral:rRNA from 1 species